AGGGUUGUGGGUGGUAGGCUCCAUCCAAGGCUAAAUACUGGCACGAGACCGAUAGCGCACGAGUACCGUGAGGGAAAGUUGAAAACAACUCUGACCAGAGGGUGAAAAGAGGUGAAACCGCCUGGAUGGAAACGGAUGGGCACACAAGGUCGAACCGGGCGGCACAACCAUGAUGUUGCUCGGGGGCGGGCUCUGGACCUCCCCUAAGGAGGUCUGACCUGUCCCACUCCCCCUACUGAGGGGGGGAGGGAUGGGUCUUCCCGGGACAGGUUGUAGAUGGGGUUCCUUCUGGCUUCCAACGUCGAAGCCGCCGGGCAGAGCUGAGUAAACGCCCUGGCAACCGGUGUCAUGCGGCCCGGUGAGAGAGCCACGGCCGGUUGGGGCCUGGGCCAGAAGUCCGAGGGCUCGGAAGGUAUCCCCUCCUGUAGGGAUUUGACUCUGCUCCUUCCUCGGUCGUCUAACGGCUGGGGGAUGGUUGGUGGGGCAAUCCCUGGAGAUGGUGAGAUGAUCUGGGCCGAUGCUAAGUCAGCUGGCGAGAGAAAGGACAGGCUGGCCCCGACCGUUCCAAUGCAAAGCUAUUCGCUGUCACCUCGACAAGGGGCCAGAGAUGGCCUGAGGUCAUUGGCAGAGCCUGGGUGUGAAGGGGAAUCCCAUUCCCCGUGAUGCCUGAGCCGGCCCAACCCGAUGUGGUCCAAUGACGGCUCCCCUGCUCCGGCGCCGCCCUUUAGACCAUCUGGAGGUGGGUGCCCCCCUGGGCACCUUUCCCCGGGUGCAGCGGGCUGUCCACAGCCCGGCUCCCGGGCCGAGGGGAGAGCGCGCCAAGAUUGGGCCUUAGGAAAUCGGGGGGCUUGAAAAAGAGGCCAUGAAGGCAGAGGCACCCGGACGACAGGGGGUCGGAGACAGAGGGCGGACGAUGGGGGGCUCGCCAUGGCAAAAACAAUGGGAGAGGAAGAGGGGGAGCAUCCGCUUCCCCCCUGCCUAGCCCAGCUGUGGCGGACAGCCCCAAAGAAGGAGAGAGGCCGGCAGGAAUGCCCCUCCUCCGAAAGACAAUGUCCGCUCCUCGGAGCCCCUUUCAGGUAGGAAGGGGGAAAGCCGACCCUUAGGCAGAGCGAGCAGUCGUGGCGAGUUGGUAACCCAUCCGACCCGUCUUGAAACACGGACCAAGGAGUCUAACAUGUGCGCGAGUCGCAGGGCGGGCACGAAACCUGUCUGAGGCGCAAGGAAAGGAAAGGCUGAGGUAGGAUGCAGGGGAGCGGGGAAGCCCGCUCUUGGGCCGCACUACCCUCCUCCGGGGGCCCUUCAACGUCCUCGGGGGGAGAGAGCGCACAUGGUGGGACCCGAAAGAUGGUGAACUAUGCUUGGGCAGGCUGAAGCCGAGAGAAAUCUCGGUGGAGGGCCGACGCGGUUCUGACGUGCAAAUCGAUCGCUGGACCUGAGUAUAGGGGCGAAAGACUAAUCGAACCAUCUAGUAGCUGGUUCCCCCCGAAAUAUCCCGCAGGAUAGCUGGCGCCAACNNNNNNNNNAAAAAGAAAAGAGAAGGAGGGAGCUGGUCCCGUGCCGCCGGGGAAGCCUGAACGAGUAGGGGGGCGCGGAGGUGAGCGCAGAAGCCCGGUCCGUGGGGCCGGGAGGAGCCGCCUCUGGUGCAGAUCUUGGUGGAAGUAGCAAAUACUCCAGAGAGAACCUUGAGGGCCGAAGGGGAGAAGGGUUCCGCGGCGACGUCAUGCGUCCGCGGGUGAGUCGGUCCUGAGAGGUCGGCCAUUGCCGUUUAAAAGGGGGGGCCUUUUGCCCCCUGCGCUCGAAAGGGAAUCAGGCCACGGUUCCUGUACCCAGAACCCGAUAGGAUCGCCCGACUCACGAGUACCGAGGACGGAGUCUAGCAGCGGGGAGCAGGGUAGCCGCAUCUGUAUAUACCCCCUUUCUGCGGUUGCUCGGUGAGCUGUUGCUGGUUGAGAGGCUCCCGAUGGGGAAAGGGGCUGGCGUGAAAUGCGGCGACGCGCGCGAGCCAGGAGACGCCAGCGGUCGGACCGGCCAGGACUAUCUCUUCUGGUUGAGAGACGGUGAGCCCCCCGGAGUUUGGGCUUCGGGCCGAGAAGGGGGGGAAGUACUCGCAAAGCGUCCCCGAGUAGGGCGUCCGGGAACCGUCCGCUGGCCCUUGAAAAUCCUGGGGAGAGACUGUAGUAAGCCAAAAACAAAAUCGAUUCGGGCCUGGGCCGUACCGAUAUCCGCAUCAGGUCUCCAAGGUUUGAAGCCUCUGGCCAAUAGAACACUGUAGGUAAGGGAAGUCGGCAAAUUGGAUCCGUAACUUCGGAAGAAGGAUUGCCUCUGGGGGCCGGGCAGCACCUGGUCCGACCGGAAGCGGAGAAGGGGCCCGCCUGUCAAAUGCUGGGGGGCAACCCGCCGUGGAAGGGCACGACUUAAGUGGCCGGGAAUCGAGUGCGCGUCGCCGUAGGGCCGCGCCCCCGCAACCGCAAGGGCUGCCGGAGCGGUCGACGUGGAGGUG
rnacentral:rRNA from 1 species